GACGAACGCUGGCGGCGUGCUUAACACAUGCAAGUCGAACGGAAAGGCCCUGCCUUUGUGGGGUGCUCGGGUGACGGACGGGUGAGUAACCGGUGCGUAACCUGCCCUUGACUUUGGGAUAACUUCAGGUAACUGGGGACAAUACCGGAUCGGAGCUCCUGCUGCGUGGUGGGGGUUGGAAAGUUUGGGCGGGUGGGGAUGGACUCGCGGCUUAUCAGCUUGUUGGUGGGGUAGUGGCUGACCAAGGCUUUGAAGGGUAGCCGGCCUGAGAGGGUGACCGGCGACAUGGGGACUGCGAUACGGCCCAGACUCCUAUGGGAGGCAGCAGUGGGGAAUAUUGCACAAUGGUCGGAAGCCUGAUGCAGCAACGCCGGGUGCGGGAUGAGGGCCUUCGGGUUGUAAACCGCUUUCGCCUGUGACGGAGCGUGAGUGACGGUAAUGGGUAAAGAAGCACCGGCUAACUACGUG
rnacentral:rRNA from 1 species